rnacentral:sRNA from 1 species
UUCGGCGGCGCCCGCGAGGGUGCCCGCCCGUCUCAUCAGAAUCUCUGUUUUCGAACCCGACGAUACUUCUGAGUGUUCUUAGCGAACUGUCAAAACUUUUAACAACGGAUCUCUUGGCUCCAGCAUCGAUGAAGAACGCAGCGAAACGCGAUAUGUAAUGUGAAUUGCAGAAUUCAGUGAAUCAUCGAAUCUUUGAACGCACAUGGUGCCUUCCAGUAUCCUGGGAGGCAUGCCUGUCCGAGCGUCGUUUCAACCCUCGAGCCCCCGUGGCCCGGCGUUGGGGAUCUGCCACGGCAGGCCCCUAAAACCAGUGGCGGACCCGAAGGCCCUCUCCUUUGCGCAGUAGCAUCAGCCUCGCAUUGGGAUCCCUCGGCGUCCUGCCUCUAAACCCCCCACAAGUCCGCUCCGGCGGCACCAAGGUUGACCUCGGAUCAGGUAGGAAUACCCGCUGAACUUAAGCAUAUCAAUAAGACGGAGGAAGAUUUUCUUUACCAAAAUGAGUAAUAAUAAUAAAAGGUGGUAGCCACCUUUUUCUCUUCCCACUAAUUUGAUAUCUUUUAUUGCAAGAAAAAAGAACUUCUUUUAUUAUUAUUAUUUAUUUUUAAUAAAAGAAAUAAUGAAGGAUGGUUGGUAUUCCUUGUUUGUAUUUCUUCUCUCCACCCAAAUAUUGAAUAGCAAGAACUCUUUCCUUCACCACUAU